UCUACCCUGGGAUAUCAAAGGCCAGUUUCAGCCCUGCUGUAACUGCGGUGACCAGACAGCAAGUAUGAAAAAUCAGGACAGAGUGUGGGGGUAAUAAGUGCCCAUAUAAGAAAAAGCCUUGACUAUCAGGACUGUCCCUAUAAAGUCAGGACAUCCGGUCACCCUAGCUGUAACUGGGUACAAAAGCCUGUGACGUUAUGCUAUUGUCUGCUCACAUUACAGCUGCCUUUGGCCCUGGGAGUAUAUGGCGGCCAGAGCAAUUAGCAAGGCUACGGAGACAUUUUUUUAAGGAGCUCACUGCACCCUUCUAGCUACUCCCUGGCAAGGAUGAGACUGCCAUCCCACAAGCAGCUGUCACUGAUGACACCAGGUCCCUCUGGGAUCUGCAACUCCAUGACUAAUAAUGGACCAUGAUGCUCCUCUGUUUACACCAAGGGAGGCAGGACUUAGCCCCAGGGCUAGAUUGGCAAAUGUUGACCAACGACGAACUUCCUUUUCCCCAGUUCAGUGAACUCAUUCCUUUAUUUAUAGGCUUCAACUAGGGAAGCUGCAUUCUCUGCUUCAAUUAGAGACCUGAGCAACCACUCUUCUGUCUGUCCAGGAAGUCGCCCAGCCCUGACGAACAUGUGAGAACAGGUAGAACAGAGUGAGCAGCAGCACAAGCUAUGCCACUGUCAAUGUGCACCACCCUGGAUAUGGAGAGACCACAGAAGCAGAGUUCAGCUUCCAAAAUCCACUCUGCCUUUGGUUUCUCUCUGCUGACAUCAGGAUGCUAACUGGGAUGUGGACACGUGACUCUUGGGAAUAUAAACACGCAAACCUUCUUGAUGCAACUUACUAAGAAGGUGAGAGACUAUAGCGAGGUUCAGAUUGUACUGAGCUGAUCUCGGCUUCAGUCCAAGGACCUGAGUCUCUCUAGCCUUAUGGUGCAGAAUUUAGGAAAAUUGGCUCUUCUGCUCCAGGCAUAUCCAAGAUGCAACAAAAUCAGCCAUGGCCCUAACACUCUCUUGGGAUCCUGUGUGCUCAGAGAAGACAGCGGCUGGGGGGAUGCUCUAGUGCCUUUGGACACAACUAUACAUCAAGUAACCUCAGAAGGAAGGUCUUGGGUUAAGACACAGUGUAACUCACACACCUGCGGGGUGUGGUGUUCUGUGCCAUGGGAUUGAUUGAAGAAUUUGCUCUACAGUCUUAGCUAACUGCCAGUUGGCUUUUAGCUCAAGCACUAAGCUCUACAGGUCCCAGGUUCGAUCCCACCUGCCGACGACCAGGAUCUGUGGGCGUUACAACAGCACUAGGAGUCAAGACACCUGGGUUCUACUCCCAACUCUACCACAGAUUUUGUGUGUGCCUGUGGGCAAGA